rnacentral:misc_RNA from 1 species
AAAAGUCGUAACAAGGUAUCCGUAGGUGAACCUGCGGAUGGAUCAUUCAAGCGAGGACACUUUUGUCCGCCUGUCUUGUGCAACGUUUUUGGAAUUCUGGUGUGUACUUACUUGUACUUGUACUUGUAUGUACCACCAGAUACCCCUUUUUCAAAUACAUUUUCAACCGUAUUACUCUAAUUACACAAAAAGAACCUUGAAAACUGCCAGCAAUGGAUCCCUCGGUUCUCG